GAUUUGAUUUGAUGUUAAUAUAUAAUAUGAAUUGUUGUACCAAAUAAUGAAUUUUUAUUAGACAACAUGGUGAUCGAGAGAUCUAACAAAGGGUUGAGAAUUUACUCAGUUUUGUUAUUCAUUCACAGAUAAAUAUUAACAUAGGAUUUGAUUGUAUGUUGCAAGGAAAUAUUAUUGCAAGAUAUAAGUUCAAAGCUGUAGAAUAUGAUUUGAUUAGAUGAUUGGAAAACGGGAUCAGAAGAGGGAUUGGAAAUUGAUUUAUUGGUUUAUAUGGCAUAUAUUGGCGGAGCCUUGAUCUGCUGUCAGUUACUAUGUUUUCCGUUAAUUAGUUAAAUUACGAUCAAAUGUUUCACAGUGGUUAUUGUCCCUAUUAAAUGCUCCCGCCGCGGCCAUUUACAUAUGGAUGCUUAUUUAUUUUCAAACUAUCGUAUUGCAGAUUAGUUUCAUGUGAUUUUUUUUAUUUUUCUUCUUGCAAAGAGGCAUUAAUAUUCUUGAGGAAUAUGUUCUUGCAUCAGAUAAAUUGGAAGUACUGAGAUUUUCAUUCUUUAACACUACUCUGUGACUGAAUGAACUCAAAUCAUAUUUUUAUUACCAAUCCAAUCAUACUCAGUGAGCCUUUCAUUUGUCCUGUUGGUGCAGGAUUAACUUGUACAACAUUUUCCGGAUCAACAAAACUUUUUAAAAUUAAACGACAAUAAUUCUCUAUCUGUAGUGCCCUCAACUCCUACUUUUAACAUAGUUUGCAUUCAAAUUGCUAGCUUCCUACACCGUAAUACUCAACUAGACCAACAGCUUACAUGAUAAAUUAGUGUGGCAGAGGAGACGAUGCAAAUACUUAAAUCCCUCCACGCCACGUUUUUUCAUUAGAUAGAUAUCCUUCUACUGGUAAAUCUCUUAAUAAGUUCUUUAGGGCUUCUAAUGCAACUAGCUAUCUUAUCUGAUAUCAAGUUAUUAAAUCCAUCGGUACCCCAAUUUUAGAACUAUCCUUUUAAGUUGCUUUGGUUUCACCCUUACGGUUCCAUUCUCAUGUUCUAUAACUAUGUUAUUUCUUUACCAACGAUUAAUAACUUAUCAGUCAUCACCAACUUAUGUUGCAUCAUUUGAUUCCCACCGAUGAUGGAGCUGCAUUCUACAUGAUGCAUUUGAAACGAAUUUUCCAGCAAAGGAAUGUACACUUCAUAUGAUAUACCAGUAUCUAUAUCCCACGAGAGUAUACAUUGUUGCUUACUUUUUAACAUAUUUGAACACGAAAGUGUCAUUUCAUUCAUGGGUUACUCCCUAGCUAACCCAUGCACAUUUCAUGAGACCUAUUCAUUUACUAGGACAUGAGACCAACUAAAGAAACACGAACAAAGUUGGACAUGAGACCAACCAAAGGAACACGAACAAAGUUGUUUAAGUUGUCUAAUGGUCUUAAACUUGAUUAUUGGAUUGGCUAAGGUUAAUAUCAAUUUUUUUCUUUUUCAAGUUUAAUAAAUUCAGAUCAUUCGCGUGUUAAGAGGCACGCCUUGUAUGAGGCAUUCAUUAUUGUCAUCGAAGCUUAAGAUUUAGGUUCUCCUUNNN
rnacentral:lncRNA from 1 species